rnacentral:misc_RNA from 1 species
AAGUCGUAACAAGGUAACCGUAGGUGAACCUGCGGUUGGAUCAUUAACAAAUGCUUUGGUUUUUAACCAAAACACUGUGUGCAAUUACAUCUGUCUCUGGUGGUUUAUGUGUAUCUUCUCUUGCCCAGUGCUCCCGAACAUCAAUUGGAUGUUCACUCCAGCACGGGUUGAAAAUGGCAGGAGAGAUCACGGCCACCGAAUGAACAAACACUUGUUGUAUUUUAUUAUGUCUGAAUCAUUCACAUUUUGUGCAAUGAAAAACAAUUUUUAACAACGGAUCUCUUGGUUCUC